rnacentral:rRNA from 1 species
UGGGGAAUAUUGGACUAUGGGCGCAAGCCUGAUCCAGCCAUGCCGCGUGAGUGAUGAAGGCCCUAGGGUUGUAAAGCUCUUUCACCGGUGAAGAUAAUGACGGUAACCGGAGAAGAAGCCCCGGCUAACUUCGUGCCAGCAGCCGCGGUAAUACGAAGGGGGCUAGCGUUGUUCGGAUUUACUGGGCGUAAAGCGCACGUAGGCGGACUUUUAAGUCAGGGGUGAAAUCCCGGGGCUCAACCCCGGAACUGCCUUUGAUACUGGAAGUCUUGAGUAUGGUAGAGGUGAGUGGAAUUCCGAGUGUAGAGGUGAAAUUCGUAGAUAUUCGGAGAAACACCAGUGGCGAAGGCGGCGCACUGGACCAUUACUGACACUGAGGUGCGAAAGCGUGGGGAGCAAACAGA